GAUUUACAUAUAUUUAAACAACUAGAGAGAGAGAAGAACGUAAAAAUUUAUUUGGCUUUGGAGUACAGCAGAACAGUGAAGAAGAAAAGAAGAAAAUUCAAAAAGGUAAAACUUAAACCCUUUUUUUUAUUAUUAUUAUGAGAUGAUAUUUGCCUUAUGUAUAUAUGGUUAAUUUUGUAAUCAAUUUUUAUAAUAAUUAACUACAAAUUUAUUUAAAACUUAAGAUUUAUGUGCAUAAUAUUUGAAUAAAGAGUAUGAUUGUGUUAUAAUAUUGUAUUAUAUUUGUCUUAAUUUUAUAUUUAGGAUUUGUUCGUUUUUAAUUUCGUGUUUUGCAAUAUCGAGGUAAGUGGUUUUCCAAACUAUUUAGUGUUUUUAAGAUUAUCAUUACUUUUAAGUAUGUCUUAUUAAUUAUUCAGAUGCCUAAAUGUACAGUUUCAAAAUUCGUUAUGUUUUAUUUAAGGCUUCCAUUUAAAUUAAAUUGUUUUGUUCUUUUAUUUCAAAAUUCGAAUCAAGUAAUUAUUUUCGAACUGUGAAUGAGAUUAUAUGAUUUUGAACUGUGAAAAAGUAUCAUUUAUAUUAUCGAUAAUAUUGAGAAAAGAUUUUGAAAUACUCAGUUUGACUAUGUAUAGAACCCGUUAUUGAUUACGUUUAGUUCCGGAGCUAAUAUAGGACCUACUAAGGUGCACACCUUUUAGAUGCCCUUCGGGGAGCGUGCAUUUUUAUAGAUACCGUAGUAGGGUGCGUAUCAUAACGUUAUCGAACUUUUGGGCCGUGUUACAAGGCUAUUGUAACCUUAGUCGCUUAGGCUGUGGAUUAAAAGAUAUAUGAUAUACUUUGAAAUCAUUUUUCAAUUGUUUUAGUUUUGAAAGCUUUUGUACUAUCGUUAUUGAACAAAAAGUUAUUUUAUAAAAAGUGUUUUGCAAAUUGUACUUGAUUCGGCUAGAUAGGGAGGAUUGCUACUUGUUGGGCUUCAUCGCUCACCCCCUUACAGAUUUUUACAGGUCCCAUCGUUGAAAGCUGAGCACUUAUUUGAUACGCUUAGAAUAGCUGGAGUUUAGUUUUAGAUGUUAUUCUUUUGUUGAUGGAUUUUGAUAAAACUCUUAGUUUCGAGGAGCUGCGUCUCCAUUAUUUGAAUGUGGUAUUUAUUAGUAUUUCAUUUGGAUUGAUUUAAAAUAUAUUUAUUGUUGGGUUUUAAGUUAAGAUUAAUGUUAAGUUAUUUUGUUUGGGCUGCGCAUUAUUGAUAUUGUUGCCUUGCGGGCAUAUGGGCUUGCGGCGUGUAGCACUUUGGGCCUAUAUCGGGUUCGGGGUGUUACAGAGGUGGUAUCAAAGCAGUGGCCCCUCGCAAUGUGUUAGGUUGAAAAACCUGGGGAGUGAUUUUGGGAGUUAGAUGUGGGUAAGAAUAUUGACUAAAUUUAAUGAUUUUAAAAUUAAAUAGAGAAUAAGUUAAGAAAUCUAUGUUUUGUUUGACGUUUGGUACUCUAGGCUAAUUGGGUAUUUUAUUUUAUUCGUUAUUAGUUUUGUAUAGUGUUGUUGAGUAGGGAUUUCUUUUUGUACGGAAAAUGCCGCCUAGAAUAAGAAACCCUACUAACACUAAUUUUGGCGCUAAUGGUCUGACUCAGCUGGCUACUACUUUAGCUCAGCUAGUGCAGAACCAACAACCUGGACAACAUGGCAUAGUAGCGGAAUUCAAACGAUUGAAUCCGCCAAUAUUUGAAGGGGCUACGGACCCUUCCAUAGUUGAGAUGUGGAUUCAAGAAAUGGAGAAGGCGUUUGAUUUGCUAGGGAGUAGUGAGACUAAUAAGGCGACGUUGGCAGUUUACCAGCUUCAGGGUGGGGCGUAUGAUUGGUGGCUUAUGGAGAAAAGAAAGCAUGAAGGGAAUCCUGAACCCUACACAUGGACCAUGUUCAAGGAGGCAUUUACUAACAAAUACUUUCCUAGAACAAUUCGGGCACAAAAGGAGAGAGAAUUUAUUAGGCUCGAAUAAGGGAGCAAGACAGUUGCUCAAUAUGAAGCUGAAUUCGCGAAGCUUGCCAAGUAUGCACCGACCUUGGUGGCAGAUGAGGCGGCAAAAGCGCGAAGGUUGGAGGAUGGAUUACGGUCCGAUAUAAGACAUGGUGUGGUGUCUUUUGAGCUGCCCACAUAUGAUGCGGUGCUCAAUAAGGCGUUAGUGAUCAAGAAGGGCUUAGCGAAAAUGGAGAAAGGGAAUAACAAUAAGAGGGAUGAAUCAUCUGGGGAAGAGUCUAGCCAUGGAGGACCUACAAAGAAGUUGAAUACGCAAACCACUAAGUUUAGAGGAAACCAAUGGAAUCAAGAGAACAAACUGAAGUGUUCGAGGUGUGGUAGAAACCACUUAGAUAAGGAAUGUCAUUAGAAUACGGGAGCGUGUUUUCAUUGUGGAGAUUUCGGUCAUAGGAUUGCACAAUGCCCCAAGAACCCUCCACCGAAAAGAGAUGAAAAAGAGGAAGAAAUAACAUUGGCAAGCCUAGGACCAAAUCGAGGACGUGUGUUUCAGCUUUCAGGCAACCAAAAUUAAGGUAUGAAACUCUUUUAUUAAUUGCAUUUAGUAAUUAGAUAAUGAAUUUCUUGAUUAUGUCAAAUUUAUAUUUUUCUUUAGAUGUUAUUUUUGAAAUUUGGAGGACCAAAUUCUUUUAAGGUGGGUAGAAUGUAAUACCCGGUUUAAAAAAAAAAAUAAAAGAUAAUAAAAUAAUAUAAUUAGAUAAUAGAAGUGUAACUAAUAAUUAUUUAUACAUAUCUAAAACCUAUAAGGAUAAGAAAAGUCAUUCAAGUUUAACAAAUUCUUAAUUUUAAAAAGGACUCUUUUACCUAGUAACCUAUUUUGCAAAGGAUUUACAUAUAUUUAAACAACUAGAGAGAGAAGAGCGUAAAAAUUUAUUUGGCUUUGGAGUAGAGCAGAACAGUGAAGAAGAAAAGAAGAAAAUUCAUAAAGGUAAAACUUAAACCCUUUUUUUUAUUAUUAUUAUGAGAUGAUAUUUGCCUUAUAUAUAUAUGGUUAAUUUUGUAAUCAAUUUUUAUAAUAAUUAAC
rnacentral:lncRNA from 1 species